rnacentral:lncRNA from 1 species
GGCGGUCGGUCCAUGACAAAGAUCUAAUCGCCCCGAUUUGUUCAUUUCAUUGAAAGCAAGGUUGUUACAUAACGCAAGAAAAGACAUGAGGGAGAGCUCCCAAACAACGAAGCUAAUUAUGAGUCCCAUCUCUCGAUAUUGCAACAUGAGACAAAUUCUUUAACAUUGUGACACAUGUGAGCAUGGGCCCAUUACAUAUCGCACUUGACUCAAUCUAACUAACGAAGACAGCUUCCGCUUGCGGCAGCCCCACCGACUCGGGUUGACUUCGAGGCACGCUCCUCAGCUUCUUCGAGCUUCCUUUUGAGGCACUUGAUCUCGGCUCGGUGGGUGGUCUUUAAUGGCACGUCGGGAAUCUUCGGGCGUAGGUUCUCUGGGAUUUUAUGCCUAAGGAUGUAUUCCAUCGAGGCAUAGUAAGUCUUCUCUUGCCCUUCCAACUCCUCUUCGGGCCAUAUCAGCUUCCGGGGAUGGCACAUAUCCCACAUUGACUUGACUAACGCAAUGGAGUCUUCGUGAUCCUGGCAUCCAUCCGGGAAGUCUAUCCUAAGCGGGUCUUCUUG